UAUGUGAACGUUACCAAACUGUUGCCUCGGCGGGAUUUCUGCCCCGGGCGCGUCGCAGCCCCGGACCAAGGCGCCCGCCGGAGGACCAAUUUACAAACUCUUUUGUAUAUCCCAUCGCGGAUUCUUUACAUUCUGAGCUUUCUCGGCGCUCCUAGCGAGCGUUUCGAAAAUGAAUCAAAACUUUCAACAACGGAUCUCUUGGUUCUGGCAUCGAUGAAGAACGCAGCGAAAUGCGAUAAGUAAUGUGAAUUGCAGAAUUCAGUGAAUCAUCGAAUCUUUGAACGCACAUUGCGCCCGCCAGUAUUCUGGCGGGCAUGCCUGUCCGAGCGUCAUUUCAACCCUCGAACCCCUCCGGGGGGUCGGCGUUGGGGAUCGGCACUUACCUGCCGGCCCCGAAAUACAGUGGCGGUCUCGCCGCAGCCUCUCCUGCGCAGUAGUUUGCACACUCGCACCGGGAGCGCGGCGCGUCCACGGCCGUAAAACAACCCAAACUUCUGAAAUGUUGACCUCGGAUCAGGUAGGAAUACCCGCUGAACUUAAGCAU
rnacentral:rRNA from 1 species